rnacentral:pre_miRNA from 1 species
AGAGGAGCUGGACAAGUACUGGUCUCAGCAGAUUGAGGACAGCACCACAGUGGUCACCACACAGUCUGCCGAGGUUGAAGCUGCUGAGACGACACU